AAAAAAGAGUAUAUUUUGGUAUUCUUCCUAGAUUCUCCUCUUUUGGCUCUAAUUCUAACUCCCACUUCUGACCUCUUUACAUCAGGGCAUGUUGUUAGCCUUUUCACAUCAUUACUAGGUGAGCAACAAAGAAGAAAGUUUCUGGAAAAACUAGCUUCUGUAAGACAACCAGAAAGUGUUGACAAUCAUUUCUUGGUCUAAGCAUUCUUUAGCUCUUUUGAAAAAUGACCUCAGCCUAUCUGUGGGCUGGAUCUCCCUGGUAUAGAUCACAGUGUCCUAUAGCCCUUUCUGCUUGGGUUUGAAUCUAAGCCUGAAAAUGUCUGCCUUAGUCGCUUCCCUCAUCUCUAGAAAUGAAGUGGAUUUCUGAAGUUGCUGCCUCUGGUAUGUCUCAGCUUUCUCCUUUACCUUUUCAGCAGUUAGCAUUCUUUUACUGAAAAUAACUGUUUUUAUAUUGAAAUUAGUGGUGUAAUGUUUUUAUCCUGAUUACACUCUGGAUGAUUUUGAUGAGGUAAACAUGUGGGAAGAAAUCCACUUCUAGUCACCAUGGGAAAUGCAGUGGAAUCCAACCAAAAAGGUUGAGUGAGAUGUCCUUUGUAAGAAUUACCUUGUCAAAGAGCACUUGCCUGAAGUAGCUGUUCUGAGAUGUAGACUACGUGUUAUUUUGCCAAUUAGCUCUGGGCUGGAAGUGAGUUGCCGAACUGGAUUACUGCAGCCUGGAGAUGUUCUCAGGGUAACAGUGCUAAGCAGUUUCUAUUAGCCACAGGGAAUAAAAGAGGCGGUACUCUGUACUGUGGGGAGCUGUUAGCAUGCUUGCAUAUUGUGUUUGUGUCCUUGAAUCAUAUGUCUAAAAAACACCUGACUUUUUAUGAAUAUGCGAUAUUUGAUACUCUAUCAUAAACCGCUAGAUGAUUUUUGUCUAGUUAUUCCCUAAUGUGUGUUCUGAGCAUGGUUAAGGUAGGCCAUUCAAGGCUGUAAUGCUUGAUAGUUUGGGUGUUAAACACAUAGUGACUUGGGAUGUUUCCACUGAUGGUGGGUUUAUUAGGGACAUACAGAAUCAUAGCUAACAGGACAGGUGCCUUUCUGUGUGUGGGUAUGGUUGUAGCACCCCUUUAAAGAAAGCUUGUCUGGUUCUCUUUUGAUAUGUGUGUCUCAUUUUAUCAGUGUCAUAAGGCUGGGAGACAGUAGUCUCAUUUGCCUUGUGACAAGAAGGGUUGCUAGGAAAUGGUUGAGGGGGACGUGGACUGAGAAUCCAGAGAGCUGCCGCAGAAGCUGCUGGGUGCAAGCCCCACUUCCCUGGUAGGAGUCAGUGGUGUUCCUGCUGUGGCAGAGGUUUGGGAUGGGAAGAGAGGUUUAGAGGGACCCAGACUAUCAAGUCUCAAAGGUAGAAUGAAAAAUUCUAUAGGAAGUGUUUGUGACGGACAUUUGUUGGCAGAGUGACACUUAUAAGCAGAGCGACCUUUAUUGGUAGAGCUCUCAGUAUGAAGUAGGUGAGCUUAACACAGUGGAUGUCAUAGGAAGGGCUCUAGAAGAAGAGUCUGGACAAAUCAUGUCUCAGAGUAUCUCCUGGGUCUGAAUUUUUUUCUAGAAGUGUUCCUUAAUGGAACUUUCAGGUGGUCUGGAAGGGGACAUGCUGCUCUUUGAAAAGCAUAACGGAGACAAUUAUCAAUCAAAGUGUUGUGGCCAGCAGCAGAUGGCUUUAGGCCAGAUUUCUUCAACAUUUUCAGGUGAGGAUGCUAAAUGCAUAGAUGGAAAGUUUAUGAUCCCUGGUUUUAAGAGGGAUGACCACACAGGUUCUGACGAGGCUGGGAGGCACCCACAGUGAACCAUUUGUCUUCCCUUUUCUGCGGGACUCCAGGCUUCCUUCCCCGCUUACACACUUUCAUUCUCUUGGCUGAGGUGUUUUCGGGUAUUUCUCAUCUCCCAGUGGCUCCCAGAGUCAGUCCAUUGCUCACCCACUCAGGAAGAGUCAUGCACGCUGGCACGUGCAUGAAGAGUGUGAGCACAGAAGACUGGGGGGCAAGCACCAGUCCUAAGACGUUGGCUCAAGUUUAUAUGAUGCCAGUCCAAGCUCGGAGACACCAGCACCAACGUGGAGGGGUGCGAGCACAGAGGCAUUAUGAUCAGUUGGCUGAUUAUGGCGGUGCCCAUUAUAUAGAAAGCAAGGCAGUGUCGCCCUGACUGACUUGAGAGCCCUCCUGGGAAUUUACACCACUGGCAUAGAUAUUAGAAUAGCCAUGCCAUCUUGCUUCUUGGGUCCAUUUGCUUGGAAAUUUUUUUCCCAACCCUUUACUCUGAGGUGAAGUGGAAGAUCUGGCUCUAGGGGACCGUUUGGAAUACUCCAUGGACACACAGCCCACUGCCCACUUGGAAAGCUGCCGGGGAGAAGCUUGAAACCUGUCAGGCAGAGCCAACAAGGACACAGUGUCCUGCCACAGCAGGAAGGAGCCUGGAGAACGCAGAGGACAGUUAGUACCACUUGGACAUCUCUGUCCUCUCCAAGUGUGGAAGUUGGUCCUUGCAGAGAAAGAAGCCUGACUAAAGUAAGGAUGUGCCCUCACACUUUGGCAACAUAAUUGGCCUAUCACUGAAGAUGAGGACUUUGUCUUGAGCCUUGUGGCUCUGGCUGGGGACCAUCUAUUAACAUCAGACCCUCUUCUCACAGGGUCAGAACAAAGACGUAAGGAAGCCACUGCAAAAGAGGUGGGGGCGAGGGUGGACCGGGUCCAUGCUUAUAUCCCUGGAAGACAUGUUUUGAGGAAUGAAGAGACCAGAUGUGAAAGCCAGAAGGGACAUAAAUUGUAUCUUUGCCUGUGUUAAUUCAGUGCUUUCUGGCACACCAUGACUGCAUUUUGCUCCUACUCCUGGUGAAUGACAUGGAUACAGCUCACUAGUAGUGGGUUUUGAAUGUGAAAUUAGUAAAAGUGACUGCUUAUGCCCAAACAGUGCCCUGUGAGCCUUGUGGCCUAGAGAUGGCAACGUGAGCCCCAGUGUCCACUGUGGUACUGUCAGGCAUAAAGUGAGACAGGUCCCUUCCAGGGCAGACUGUAUCAAGGCACCUCGAAGUAUCCCCUCGGUUACUUUCAGUUUCAAUAUGACAGUGCAAAUUGUCCAUACCCGCAGGCAUUUCUGUCCAUCACUUAAGCAUGAACUCUGUGACCCAAAACUGAACAAGCUCAUGAAUAUAAUGUAUUCCUUCACUGAGCAUGCUUGGGCAUGUAGUGAACUCCUUUACUGAGCGUGCUCAGAAAUGUAGUGAACAUUUUCACUGAGGAUGCUCAGCAGUGUGGUGUCCUCCUUUGCAGACCAUAAUCAGGAAGGACCUACUCCUCUAGGAAUAUGUCUAAAGCUCCAGAAUAGAGUCCCCUUGCUUUCUCGGAGAGGGUUAUUGCUUUUGAGAUGUCACUGUGUUCUUGCCCACUGCAAGUGGCUACUCUCUCUCCUCUGUCUUAACUCUGCUUAGUUUGGCUUUGCAGUCACCAAUAUGAGAGCUCUUGGUGUCUAAUCCAGGGCUCUUGUAAGCUACCAGAGUAGCCACAAUGGCAGCAGCAGCAACCAUGACCUUUACAUUUGUUCAGAAUAUGAUCCCAAGUGCAACCUAACCCGGCUGUGGCUCCUUCAGAGCAAACAAGAGAGAGCUGUCCCACCUGGAGGAUCUCAAGUUCCUCAUUUCACGUUCACAGUGAUCUGGGACAGGUUGCAGGGACAGUUGAACCUCCUCAGAUGGUGAGCACCAUACAUCCCCUUCUGGCUCUGCUGGAACAUUGUCUUAAUCUGCUCAGAAAGAUUUUCUGGAACAUUUGUGAGGGAAAAGCGGCCUGGGUGACCUUUUUAUACUGUGAAAAACAAACAGGACCAAAGGGGGGCGUGUGUAACAGCCAGCCUCCCCAAAUGUGGUAACUAACUCCUUAAGGGGUGUGUCCUUUGAGCCCCAGACCUUAGAAGGCUUAAUGGAAAACCAGCCCUUGGAGGAGAAAUUGUUCUGUCUCGUAGGUCCCUGCUGGGCUCCUGGACUGAGUUCCAGAGCUCCAGGAAAUCACACAUUAGCUUCUUCAAUGAGAAAGCUCGGAUGGCUCUCUAUGCCAUCACUGCCAUGGCUUAUCAGUGUAGGCCUCUGGGUCAAGGAACCCCUGGCUACAUAGUACAAGAUGUGGAUAAGCAGCUACGAAAGAGGAAGGACACUCUAGGCAAAUGGACAAGCUGGCGCAAAACCCCACAUUCCUCAGGCUAAGGUCUAUAGCCCCUUCAGAGAACAGCAAGUUCAUUUUUGCUGGUAUUCAGAAACGAAAGGAAUGGUAGGCGCAGCUCUUACUCUUUCCCUUGUGACCUCCCCUGAGUAGUUAUGAGAAGGACCUGCUCAGGGGCCGCAGUCUUCAGGGGUGAGCUUGUCCGGUUGGCCCUGGUACUGUUCUGGCAAUAGGCUCUGGCAGCAUCCAGCCAGAAACAGUUCUACAGCAGCAGUCCUUGUACGUGGGCUCUCUUCCCUCCUAUACUCAGCCUCUCCUACAUUGUCCAGCAGAGAUGUGGUGAAGACACUCGGAGUGAGCUUCCACACAGACCCGGCCUGUGACCCCACAAGGAGCUGUGGCUAAAAGACCUGACUCAGAAGUUACACCGUACCCUGACCAAGCUUGUUCUGUCUCUCUCAGCAUCUGUGAGUUUGUCCAGUUUCACCCUCUAUGAAGUGGCCAUCCACUGGGUCUUUUCCCUUCACCACAUCAAAGCAGAGACACAUGGAAGGGUCUCUGUUAGUGACUUUGGACACAGGUAGGACUUAGCACUGAGCUAGAUCAACUGAAUCAUAGCUCUUUUCCUGACUCUUCCUUCAGAACUUGUGAUCCCUUGCCAACCCCUCCCCCUCCCAUUCCACCCUCUGGUUGCAUCUUCUGUCUGCUUCCGGCUCAGCUUUCCCAGGUCCCCACAUAUGGGUGAUGCUGCAGGAUUGGUCCUUCUAAGGCGACAGAUAUCAAGUUGCAUUCCCCAUAAAGAGUUAGGAUUUUUUGUUUUAUUUGCGAAGGGCGUUCAAGAAGCGAAGACAAAAUGCAGAAGUGCGUCCACGUUGGCAGCUGUGCCUACAAGGCUUCCUGUGGACUCCACUGCCCUCUCCCUUCAUUGUAGCCUCUUAACUUUGGGGUUCCUGACUCCUACUUGGAGCUGACAGGCAGCGGCAUAGUGUUCUCAGGGUGUUAGCAGUUUGACUCCUCACCUGCUUCUAGCCCCUGCAUUUGUUGGUCUUGAAAGUUGUGAGUGCAACCUGAGUUUGACCCCUGGUGAUGUCCUAGGGGGAUAAGCCCAUGUUAUUUUCAUUUGGCUCUGUGGUUGUCAUAUUAUGGGUGACUCUAAGGAGGAUGGGUUUUCCAGGUGGGGUAUCAUAGGAUGUCAUGCUGAACUCAAUGUUGCCCACAAUACCGCUGCCUAAGUUAAAACCCACAGUACCAUAUGUGAGAAUGAUAUGCAAGGGCAGGUCAUCCAGAGGCAGCAGAGCAUGGAAGGCAAGCUGUGGCUUCUGCCACCCUUCAUCUUUUGUUUCUAGUCAUCCAGGAGCUGUUACUUCCCAAGCAAUGUGAAGGUGGAAAUGUCAGUUCAUUCCUACUCCUCUUUUUGAGGGAGGAGGACAAUGAGAGGCCCUGCAAGGCUUUUGUCAAACCAGGGCUGCAUAGGCUUCACUGUCUGCUAACAGCCCUCCCUGGAGCUUAAUAACUUAAUAUGAUGUAUGUUGCUGUGACUUCAUUAAACAUUCAAUGUUUUUUAAAAACCCCAAAGUUUCAUGGAAGUUGUAUCCCAUGGUGAACAUGAUCUCUACAAUCUUGGAGAUUGAGACUUGUGGGGCUGUUUCUCUAGAGGAAGGUAGUGGACCUUCUUCACUGUGAAACAGCCAAGGGUACUCCGUAAGCUGGUCUAUAGUCAUCUGGUAUCCGGGGUUGACACUGAGUAUGUACACAGUGAAGUUUUUGGUGUUUUUUUAUUUUUAUUUUUUUAAAGAGGUUAGGUGGAUUAUCGCUUUGUAGUCAUGAUCAUCUGGAGCAUCCCUGAAAAGGUUGGUGCUUAGCAUGGUAAACACCCUGUUAUCAUUGCAUAAAGCACUAUACCAAGGCUCUACAUGUCACUGUCAUAGUGUCUGCCCACUAACACCUCUAAGGUUAUAUAGCAAAGGGUGCCACACGCCUCCUCAGUCUUUGCUCAGAGAUAUUUUCGUGGCCAGCCUGAAUCACAAGGUUUGGCGUGUUUCUCCUCAGCUACAAGGAUGCUCUUCAGUUAAAUGUUUUUGUGUGCUGUUUUGUUUUGGUGGAGAUAGGGAACUGCCAGUACCUUUUACCAGACAAUGGGAACUGUUUCCUCCUCGGGUGCACAGCCCGAUGCCCCAAUGAGGCUCAUUAGCGCUCUUCCUGCCACAGAUUCCACGAUGACAAACCUGUUUGAUGGUGUUUGGGUGAUCUAAUGGUUUUAUAUGGUCCACCUCGGUGAUGUUGGAGGCAUUGCUUUUGCUCUUGUUGAGCUCAGAUCUUCAAAACCAGUUGAGUAUCUCUGCAGGUGUGGCACGGGCAGCUGCAUCUCUGCAAAGGUGCCACAGCCAAGGGUCAUUAAAAUAUUGUGAUACUCUUCAUGAGCAGUCCUAGACAUUAGGUCCCACUCCAUUGCUACCACCUUAACUUCUGGGAAGUGACACCAUUGCACAGUGCUACAUUUAGAAAAUUAAUAGGAGUAGGUUCGCCCCAGGACUCCCACGCUCCCCAGCUUCAGGUUCUUAACCGGAUCUAUAGUAUCAAGUAUGAAUGUCUCCCUGUGUAACAGGCCUUGAAUCUAAUAAGAAAAUGGUUGGUCAUCCCCCUAAUUCCUAUGCCGCUACAUUGUCCUGUGUUGUCAGCUUGAUCACUGUGGCAGCUCAUAGGGUUCCUAGCUGGGUAACACACUUAUGACUUUCUUCCUGUCCUGGUUUGCUUCUCUUGCUGUGAUAAAACACAGACCCAAAGCAACUCCUCUCCCUUAGGGGAGGGAAGGGUUUACUUCAUCUCAUGGGUCGCAGUCCAUUAUCAAGAAAAGCUAAGGCAGGAACUUAGAGCAGGAACUGAAGCAGAGACAUUGGAGAAAUACUGCUUACUGACUUGUUCCCGGGCUCAAGAUGAGCGGCCUUUCUUAUAUAGCCCAGGCCUACCUGCUUUUGGAUAACGUGUACCCAUAGUGGGAUAGGUACCAUCUACACCGGUGAACAAUUGAGAAAUGGCCAGAGACCAGUCCAUUUGAGGCCAUUCCUGAGCUUAAGUCCCCACUUCCCAGGUGACUCUAGGCUUGUGUCAAGUUGACAGCAGAGGCUGACUGUGACACUUCCUCAGCACCCUCAUGGCACCAUUCAGCACGAUGAAAGCUAGCCAGCAGGGAGUGGCCAAAGUGUGUGGUGUCUUCAGCAAAGGGGCACGGGGAAUGUCUUACUAUCAAGUUGUUGGGCAGCCAAGCCAAGAAUAGUAGUAAUAGCCUGCAUUGUUUAGGGGCAUCUCUGGGAACCCUCGACCAGCAAUUUGAGGGGAGGUAUCCCAAACCUGGCACUGGGUGGGCUUUUCAUUUGGCAGCUUGUGGCUUCUGGAAGAAGCCUUAUCCUCCAUGUAGAGUAACUUCAUUUGAACUCUGCGUGCGUGCAUGUGUGUGUGUGUGUGUGUGUGUGUGUGUGUUUUAAAUAGUAGUUUUUCUAUGUAGCUCAUUAAAGUAUCCUUAGUGUUAUCCUUCCCUCCAACCUUUCCUUUUCUUAUCCUUCAUCUCCCUGCUUAAACCUCCCCUAACUAGUACCCACCCACCCACCCACCCCCCACGAUUAUUUUUGCUAAAUGGAUAUAAUAUCAGACUGCCUUCCAAAUACCUCUCUACCCAGUUCAGCUCUCGGUCCUCACCAAAGAAGCAUCUUUGUGUUGUGGUUGGCGGUUAAUAUCCAGACUCAGAACUAAUCAAGUGGAGAGAACAAGUGUCGUGGACAUCUGUAUCACACCCACUCCCAUCAAGGCUCAGGGAACAUUGCGGAAGAGGAGGCGGGAAGAUUGUAAGAGCCAGAGGUCAGGGAGAACUGAGGUGAAAUUGUGUCUCCUGAAUAUGACAAGAGUCACUGAACUCACAGCAGCUCUGGUUGCCUGCAAAGCCUGAACAAGAUCAAGCCAGUCAACAUUUCAACAUGGUUGGGGUAGGGGCACAGGAGUCCUCAACCUUAGCUGAGGUGCUCCUGACAGCUGAUGACUCAUUGGGGAGGCAGAGUCAAUUUUCUUUAGGGGUGUGGCCCAUGGCAGGUGGCCUCACACUCUCAUAUAUGAGCAGCACUAGCUGGAUAGGAAGUUGGGAGAAGGACCUAAGUGGUAGAUCCAGGAGGAAUGUAAGGAAAGGGGGGGGUCAAUGUGACAGGAAAACAAUGUUUGCAUGUAUUAAAUUCCCCCCAAAUAAAUUAUUUUUUAAAAUUAAAAA